rnacentral:rRNA from 1 species
AUGCUGAAGGCCGGACUGAUUGUGCCAAGUGUCAGCCCCUUCUCGUCGCCAGUGCUGUUAGUCAAGAAGAAAGAUCAGACUUGGAGGUUCUGCGUGGACUUUCGACACUUGAACGCAAUCACCCUCAAGCGUGCCUACCCCCUGCCCAUCAUCGAGGAGCUUCUAGAUGAACUUGCCGGCUCGGCUUGGUUCUCCAAACUGGACCUUCGAGCAGGAUACCACCAGAUCAGGUUGCUGGAGGAAGAUGAGAUGAAGACAGAAUUUACAACACACCAGGGACAUUUCCAGUUUCGGGUCUUGCCAUACGGGGUAACAGGAGGCCGCCGACAUUCCAGGGAGCGAUGA